UCUGAACGCCACCAGCAUCUCCGUUGUUUAACAGCCUGAAUCCUUGUUUGCUUUGAACUUUAGACUGAAUGCAAUUUGACUCUGUAUUUUGUUUUUACUCAAUUUGGAAAAACUUUUAAUUGCAAACCAAUCUCCUUCUACUUGAACCUUAGUCUUGUGGGAAGAUACUGCGGUUAGUCCUGGUGAAGAAAAAGGUUGAAAUGGAAUUGAGUAUAAAUGGUCCAAACUCCUCGGUCGGUGCUAAAUUGAAUACAAGUACAGCUGAACUGAUGGCUCAUGUUGAAGCUGGCAGUGCAUCAGUUAAUGUCGGCCCAAUUGGUGUGAAGGUGGGGGUCGGAAUCGAUACGGGUGUGGCAAUU